rnacentral:rRNA from 1 species
CAAGAGCGUAUGUAAAAGUUGUUGCAGUUAAAAAGCUCGUAGUUGAACCUUGGGUUUGGUUGGCCGGUCCGCUUUUUUGCGAGUACUGGAUUCAACCGAGCCUUUCCUUCUGGCUAACCAGUCGUUUCGGCGGCUGGCGAACCAGGAUUUUUACUUUGAGAAAAUUAGAGUGUUCAAAGCAGGCAUUAGCUUGAAUAUAUUAGCAUGGAAUAAUAGAAUAGGACGUUAUGGUUCUAUUUUGCUGGUUUCUAGGACCAUCGUAAUGAUUAAUAGGGACGGUCGGGGGCAUCAGUAUUCAGUUGUCAGAGGUGAAAUUCUUGGAUUUACUGAAGACUAACUACUGCGAAAGCAUUUGCCAAGGACGUUUUCAUUAA